rnacentral:rRNA from 1 species
CCUACGGGUGGCUGCAGUGAGGAAUAUUGGUCAAUGGCCGGAAGGCUGAACCAGCCAAGCCGCGUGAAGGACGAAGGUGCCAAGCAUUUUAACCUUCUUUUGUCAAGGGACAAAAUCAGGCUCGAGCGCCUGACCGAUGGUACUUGAAGAAAAAGCAUCGGCUACCUCCGUGCCAGCAGCCGCGUUAAUCCGGAGGAUGCGAGCGUUAUCCGGAUUUAUUGGGUUUAAAGGGUGCGUAGGCGGACUGUUAAUUCAGCGGUAAAAGCCCGGGGCUCAACCCCGGCGAGCCGUUGAAACUGGCUGUCUUGAGAUGUCGAGAGGUAUGCGGAAUGCGCGGUGUAGCGGUGAAAUACUUAGAUAGUGCGCAGAACUCCGAGUGCGAAGGCAGCAUACCGGCGGCGAUCUGACGCUGAGGCACGAAAGCGUGGGUAUCGAACAGGAUUAGAUACCCUUGUAGUC